CAUUUUGCUCCUUCGCCAUGGUCACUCUGGUGGGCAUCUUCUGGGGCCACAUCAUUUACGGCGUCGUCCACACAGAAGGACAGUAGUGACGGCUGCGCCGACUAACCGAAACACAGAGUACUUGAAAGGUAACGCUAGUGCUCAGGAAGAAGUCCUGAGGGACCUCGACGACUCGGACUACGCUGUCCCCAACUGUAA